rnacentral:snoRNA from 1 species
AGGAUUCAUGAUGGCUGUUGGGGACACAUGAGUCAUAAUGAUGAACAGAUGUCUGCACGUCUGAGGUCCAC